rnacentral:rRNA from 1 species
UACGUAGGGGGCAAGCGUUGUCCGGAUUUAUUGGGCGUAAAGAGCGUGUAGGCGGUUUGGUAGGUCCGCUGUGAAAACUCGAGGCUCAACCUCGAGACGCCGGUGGAAACCAUCAGACUAGAGUCCGGAAGAGGAGAGUGGAAUUCCUGGUGUAGCGGUGAAAUGCGCAGAUAUCAGGAGGAACACCAACAGCGAAGGCAGAUCUCUGGGACGUGACUGACGCUGAGACGCGAAAGCGUGGGGGAGCAAACAGG